rnacentral:rRNA from 1 species
UUGCACGCUGGCGGCAUGCCUUACACAUGCAAGUCGAACGGUAACGCGGGGCAACCUGGCGACGAGUGGCGAACGGGUGAGUAAUGCAUCGGAACGUGCCCAGAAGUGGGGGAUAGCCCGGCGAAAGCCGGAUUAAUACCGCAUGAGACCUGAGGGUGAAAGCGGGGAUCGCAAGACCUCGCGCUUUUGGAGCGGCCGAUGUCAGAUUAGCUAGUUGGUGGGGUAAAGGCCUACCAAGGCGACGAUCUGUAGCUGGUCUGAGAGGACGACCAGCCACACUGGGACUGAGACACGGCCCAGACUCCUACGGGAGGCAGCAGUGGGGAAUUUUGGACAAUGGGCGCAAGCCUGAUCCAGCCAUGCCGCGUGCGGGAAGAAGGCCUUCGGGUUGUAAACCGCUUUUGUCAGGGAAGAAACGCUCUGGGCUAAUACCCUGGGGUAAUGACGGUACCUGAAGAAUAAGCACCGGCUAACUACGUG